UGGCGACGUUUUGGGGAGUAGUCGCCUUAGGUUUAUUUGUCGUCAUCACGUUGAGUUUGACUCAACCGGCAAAUAUAAGCUCUGAAUCCAAGUUCAACGCUUCGACGAGACCAACGCAUUCAAU
rnacentral:misc_RNA from 1 species